rnacentral:rRNA from 1 species
CGAUCAGAUUCGCGGCAGAUAGCUCAGUAACACGUGGCCACGCUACCCUUCAGACCAGAAUAACCUCGGGAAACUGAGGCUAAGACUGGAUACGGUAUGCCUGCUGGAAUGCGGCAUACUCCAAACGUUUCGGCGCUGAAGGAUGCGGCUGCGGCCGAUUAGGUAGGCGGUGGGGUAACGGCCCACCGUGCCAAUAAUUGGUACGGGUGAUGAGAGUCAGAGCCCGGAGACGGAAUCUGAGACAAGAUUCCGGGCCCUACGGGGCGCAGCAGGCGCGAAACCUUUACACUGCACGCAAGUGCGAUAGGGGAAUCCCAAGUGCGAGGGCAUACUAGCCCUCGCUUUUGUUGACUGUAAGGAGGUCAACGAAUAAGAGCUGGGCAAGACCGGUGCCAGCCGCCGCGGUAAUACCGGCAGCUCGAGUGAUGUCCAAUAUUAUUGGGCCUAAAGCGUCCGUAGCUGGCCAGCCAAGUUCGUCGGGAAAUCCACCUGCCCAACAGGUGGGCGUCCGGCGAAAACUGUCUGGCUUGGAACCGGAAGGCUCAGAGGGUACGUCCGGGGUAGGAGUGAAAUCCCGUAAUCCCGGACGGACCACCGAUGGCGAAAGCACUCCGAGAAGACGGAUUCGACAGUGAGGGACGAAAGCUAGGGUCUCGAACCGGAUUAGAUACCCGGGUAGUCCUAGCUGUAAACGAUGCUCGUUAGGUGUGGCACCCACUACGAGUGGGUGCUGCGCCGUAGGGAAGCCGC